rnacentral:lncRNA from 1 species
CUAUGGAGGUAUAAGAUUAGAGGUGGCUCUAGAUGUAGAUGGUGAGUAUGAUCUGUUUGUACCUAAUGGAUGAUAUGGUAUUUAUAUACUUAACGAGAUUUCUCUGACAGUGAUGUGGUCAAAGCUCGAAGAGAUGUAUAUGGCUAAGUCACUCACCAAUGCUCUCUUCUUCUGGAAAUAGUUUUAUCAGCUACAGAUGAUCGAUGAAUAGAGCGUGCAGUAGCAUCU